rnacentral:rRNA from 1 species
CUACGGGCCGCAGCAGUGAGGAAUAUUGCACAAUGGGGGGAACCCUGAUGCAGCAACGCCGCGUGGAGGAUGACGCAUUUCGGUGUGUAAACUCCUUUUAUAUGUCAAGAAAAUGACGGUAGCAUAUGAAUAAGCACCGGCUAACUCCGUGCCAGCAGCCGCGGUAAUACGGAGGGUGCAAGCGUUACUCGGAAUCACUGGGCGUAAAGGACGCGUAGGCGGGUUGGAAAGUCAGGUGUGAAAUCCUACAGCUUAACUGUAGAACUGCACUUGAAACUACGAGCCUAGAGUAUGGGAGGGGCAGAUGGAAUUAGUGGUGUAGGGGUAAAAUCCGUAGAUAUCACUAGGAAUACCGAAAGCGAAGGCGAUCUGCUGGAACAUUACUGACGCUAAGGCGUGAAAGCGUGGGGAGCAAACGGGAUUAGAAACCCCAGUAGUC